rnacentral:rRNA from 1 species
GGUUAAGCGACUAAGCGUACACGGUGGAUGCCCUGGCAGUCAGAGGCGAUGAAGGACGUGCUAAUCUGCGAAAAGCGCCGGCGAGGUGAUAUGAACCUUUGACCCGGCGAUGUCCGAAUGGGGAAACCCAGUGUGAUUCGUCACACUAUCGUUAACUGAAUACAUAGGUUAACGAGGCGAACCGGGGGAACUGAAACAUCUAAGUACCCCGAGGAAAAGAAAUCAACCGAGAUUCCCCCAGUAGCGGCGAGCGAACGGGGAGCAGCCCAGAGUCUGAAUCAGCUUGUGUGUUAGUGGAACGGUCUGGAAAGUCCGACGGUACAGGGUGAUAGUCCCGUACACGAAAACACACAGGUUGUGAACUCGAAGAGUAGGGCGGGACACGUGGUAUCCUGUCUGAAUAUGGGGGGACCAUCCUCCAAGGCUAAAUACUCCUGACUGACCGAUAGUGAACCAGUACCGUGAGGGAAAGGCGAAAAGAACCCCGGCGAGGGGAGUGAAAAAGAACCUGAAACCGUGUACGUACAAGCAGUGGGAGCACCUUCGGGUGUGACUGCGUACCUUUUGUAUAAUGGGUCAGCGACUUAUAUUCUGUAGCAAGGUUAACCGUAUAGGGGAGCCGAAGGGAAACCGAGUCUUAACUGGGCGUUAAGUUGCAGGGUAUAGACCCGAAACCCGGUGAUCUAGCCAUGGGCAGGUUGAAGGUUGGGUAACACUAACUGGAGGACCGAACCGACUAAUGUUGAAAAAAUUAGCGGAUGACUUGUGGCUGGGGGGGAAAGGCCAAUCAAACCGGGAGAUAGCUGGUUCUCCCCGAAAGCUAUUUAGGUAGCGC